GUUUAAUAAGUCCAUAACUAAAACCAUACACGCUGUAAUUUUGGCAUAUAUGGUAUUCAAUUGGACAAAAUAAAUAUUGGUUAACUAUUCCUCUUAAGGGUAUCGGUUAAAAGAUAAAGUCCUUAAUAAAGUAAUACCAACAUAAUUAUAAU